rnacentral:misc_RNA from 1 species
UCUCUGUAGGUGAACCUGCGCAGGGAUCAUUACUGAGUGAGGGCUCACGCCCGACCUCCAACCCUUUGUGAACCCAACUAGUUGCUUCGGGGGGCGACCCUGCCGUUCGCGGCGUGGGGCCCCCGGAGCCCAUCAAACCCUGCGUAACUAAGUCGUCGGAGUUUAAACAAAUUAAACAAAACUUUCAACAACGGAUCUCUUGGUUCUGGCAUAGAUGAAGAACGCAGC